AUGCAUCUCAUAUUAUUGUCAGGCCGAGUGUUACAUGAUAGUCUCCAAAACUACAAACGCUGGGAUCCAGAUAUUACUGACAAGAUUUGGGAUUUCCUUCAACUUUUGUCAAUUGAUGUUGAGCCUUCUAAGGCAAUAGAAGUACUGAAUGGCCGUCUGCAUUAUGACUUCAUCCCGACAGGGUAUAGAUAUGGUGGGUUCUGUUCAAAAUUUGGGAUCACUGAGGAGCAAUUUGCUGAAGUGGUGUGGCCACGUAUUGAGCGCGGCUUAUGAUGGGAUCCCUCCUUAAUUGGAGGAGAUAAAGAAAGUGGAAGACAAGGCAUGCAGGAGACAUGCAGGAGACAAGGGAAAAGAAGAAAAGGAAAAAGCAUGCAAGGGAAAAGAAGAAAAGGAGAAAGCAUGCAACCGGCUUUGAAGAGAGAGCUGGAGAGAGAGUGUGAUUCCUUUUUUCCCCUUUUCUUAUUAAAGGAACUGAAGAGAGAGAGAGCUGCAGAGCUUUGCUUUCUUUGUAUAUAAUCCCCACAUCGGCAACAAACAAACGUGACAGGGGGAUUUAUUUCCCAACAGUGGUAUCAGAGCCGAUGGUUUGGCUGGGAUAAGUCAUGCAUCCAUGGUGUAGUCAGGCAAAUGGUCAAGGUGGCAGCCCGAAGGUGCAAUAGGUGGAGUCAGCUCAGAAAAGUUCUUAGCAAGAAGAGCGGGUCGGAGACUCAAAGAAAUCCUCAUCGAUGGUGUAUCGAUAGGUGGAGUGAUUCGUGAGCUAAGGGGAGCAAGGUGGACUCGGGAAAAUCCUAUUCAAAAGUGGAGCUGCAAGGGAUCAUAAUAUGACUCAAGGGGAUGAUGGCUGGUGAGGUUGUUUGUCAUGGCAAGUUCUAGCACCUCAUCAUUCAAGGUGGAGUCAGUUAAAUGGUUAAGGUGUUAACUCAAAAGUGCAUUAGGUGGAGCCAGCUCGAGGAAAAUUCCUAGCAACGUGGAGCGGGUCAAAAACUCAAGAAAGUCCUAAUCAAAGGCAGUUGAUAGGUGGAGUGACUCGGAGGCUAGGUGGUGCGAGCCAGACUCAAAAAUCCUAAUUAAAGGUGGAGUUGCAAGAGACCAAGAUAUGACUCAAGGGAAUGAUGGUUGGUGAGAGUGUAUAUCUCACUAAAGUGGUUCGUGGUGUCAGCGAUCGUGCUUGUUCGUCGUUCGUGGUUUUCGUUCGCCGAAGGUUUGCAUGUUGAUCGUGAUUGCUCAUCAUGACUUCAGGUAUUGCCUCAUAGUUUGAGGUGGAGUAGUUUGAUGGAAAGGGAAAUUUCACUCUAUGGCAAAGGAGAGUGAAAGACAUCCUAGUUCAACAGGGCUUAGUAAAGUGUUGAAGGGGAAGGAUGUGAAACCGGAGAAGACAACGGAAAAUGCAAGGAAAACUGUCGGGGAUUUAGUGAUCAUAGCAGGUCUAAAUCCAUAGGCAGGGAUGCUACAAGCGUCGUGGCUAGGGUCAUAUGAAGCGAAAGGCUUGGAUGGCAUUGCUGUAGCAGAAACCGAUUUUCAUAUGGAGAUGCUCUCACAAUCUCCAUAGGUGACACAUGUUCUUUGACUGGAUAUUAGAUUUGGGAUUGGCGUACUUUGGGUGGUGUGACGGUGUCCCAAAGUUACAGAGAAAUUUAAUAUCCUUGAGCCAGUUAGACUCCAAAGGCUGCAGAGUUUCGUCAGCAGGAGGAGUUAUGAAAAUCACACAUGGCGGUACGGUCCUUAUACAGGGAGAACAGUGUGGUAGGUAUCAUCUGGUAUGUUAGACCUUGAUGGAUAAUGGGAAACAGGAGUGCGCAUAGGCGAGUCUCGUUUGCGGGUACAGCAGAGACGUUGUUGACAAGUUUCCGAGUUCAGAUGAUGGUGAGAAGGUAAAUCCUGCUAGGGAAGAGGUUGAGUCGAGGUUCCUCUUCAGAGUCAACAGGUGAUCGUUGUCUCAGGGUAGUUACACAUGGUAUUGGCCGAUUGAAUCAGGGUGAGCUAGGACCAAAUGCAAUUGACUCUGAUUAUGUGUAAUUGCGCAACUAGAAGGCCAAUGGAAUGCUUGUGGGUAUAACAAGCUGUGUCUCAGAUUGAGAUGACUUCAAAGAUUGAAGUAGUGUUGCGGAGCUCUCCAUUUAAGUCGGGAGGUGGAGAUUGAUGGGAUCCCUCCUUAAUUGGAGGAGAUAAAGAAAGUGGAAGACAAGGCAUGCAGGAGACAUGCAGGAGACAAGGGAAAAGAAGAAAAGGAAAAAGCAUGCAAGGGAAAAGAAGAAAAGGAGAAAGCAUGCAACCGGCUUUGAAAGAGAGAGCUGGAGAGAGAGUGUGAUUCCUUUUUUCCCCUUUUCUUAUUAAAGGAACUGAAGAGAGAGAGAGCUGCAGAGCUUUGCUUUCUUUGUAUAUAAUCCCCACAUCGGCAACAAACAAACGUGACAGGGGGAUUUAUUUCCCAACAGCUUAGAGGUGCGCGUAAACUUGAUUAAUUAAAGUUUGUUUUACUGAUCUUCCCACUCAGAAUGAAGUAAAGAACCAAAAGAUCACAUUGUUUAUUCUCUCUAUAACAAUUUCUUACCGGCAUGCAGGAAAUUUCAACUCAACAGAAGUGCGAGUUCAUUGUUAGUGUAAAAAAUACUGUUCCCUGGUUAUUCUGAAGGUUUACAUUUCUUUUUUCUGGUAUUCUUAGCUAAUAAAUUGAGAACUAUUAAUUGAAUGAUUUUAAUUUGUGUGCAA